UACGAAGGGGGGCUAGCGUUGCUCGGAAUCACUGGGCGUAAAGGGUGCGUAGGCGGGUCUUUAAGUCAGGGGUGAAAUCCUGGAGCUCAACUCCAGAACUGCCUUUGAUACUGGCGAUCUUGAGUCCGGGAGAGGUGAGUGGAACUGCGAGUGUAGAGGUGAAAUUCGUAGAUAUUCGCAAGAACACCAGUGGCGAAGGCGGCUCACUGGCCCGGUACUGACGCUGAGGUGCGAAAGCUAGGGGAGCAAACAGGG
rnacentral:rRNA from 1 species